UAUUUAAAUAUAUUUUGAAAACACUUGAUGGUCACGCGCUGUACUGGAGUCACCAUGGAAACGGGGCUCAGCUCAACCGUCAAGCAGCUGAACAGACGCUGUCUCUCGUGGUUGUUUUCACUAAUUUCAGAAAUGGUCAGUGUCUUCAGAAAAAGUCCGUUAGCAUCUCAACUGUAAUGCUAACUACAAGAGUUAUUUUGAUGUCCACACUGUAAGAGUAUUAAUCGAUUCUUCCAUGCUGAUGGCCGUGCCUGUAUCCAGCUGAAGCACAUUUUUAGACAUUAUGAAGCAUAUAACUAAGACUGAAAAUCAUUGAUAAACCACAAG